CCUGGCGGCAGUAGCGCGGUGGUCCCACCUGACCCCAUGCCGAACUCAGAAGUGAAACGCCGUAGCGCCGAUGGUAGUGUGGGGUCUCCCCAUGCGAGAGUAGGGAACUGCCAGGG
rnacentral:rRNA from 1 species